GGGCGAUGGGGCUGCUACCAUGCAGUCGAACGCUGAAGCACCUUCGGGUGUGGAUGAGUGGCGAACGGGUGAGUAACACGUGGGUAACCUGCCCUGUACUUUGGGAUAAGCCCUGGAAACGGGGUCUAAUACCGAAUAUGACCUGCCAAGGCAUCUUGGUGGGUGGAAAGUUUCGGCGGUACAGGAUGGGCCCGCGGCCUAUCAGCUUGUUGGUGGGGUAGUGGCCUACCAAGGCGACGACGGGUAGCCGGCCUGAGAGGGUGACCGGCCACACUGGGACUGAGACACGGCCCAGACUCCUACGGGAGGCAGCAGUGGGGAAUAUUGCACAAUGGGCGGAAGCCUGAUGCAGCGACGCCGCGUGAGGGAUGACGGCCUUCGGGUUGUAAACCUCUUUCGCCAGGGACGAAGCGUAAGUGACGGUACCUGGAGAAGAAGCACCGGCUAACUACGUGCCAGCAGCCGCGGUAAUACGUAGGGUGCAAGCGUUGUCCGGAAUUAUUGGGCGUAAAGAGCUCGUAGGCGGCUUGUCGCGUCUGCUGUGAAAAUCCGGGGCUUAACUCCGGACCUGCAGUGGAUACGGGCAGGCUUGAGUUCGGUAGGGGAGACUGGAAUUCCUGGUGUAGCGGUGAAAUGCGCAGAUAUCAGGAGGAACACCGGUGGCGAAGGCGGGUCUCUGGGCCGAUACUGACGCUGAGGAGCGAAAGCGUGGGGGAGCGAACAGGAUUAGAUACCCUGGUAGUCCACGCUGUAAACGUUGGGCGCUAGGUGUGGGCGACUUCCACGUUGUCCGUGCCGUAGCUACGCAUUAAGCGCCCCGCCUGGGGAGUACGCCGCAAGGCUAAAACUCAAGGAAUUGACGGGGCCCGCACAAGCGGCGGAGCAUGUGGAUAAUUCGAUGCAACGCCGAGAACCUUACCUGGGCUGACAUGCACUGGAACCGGCAGAAGAUGUCGCCCCCUUGUGACGGUGUGGAAGGUGGUUGCAUGCUGUCGUCAGCUCGUGUCUGAGAAUGUGGGUAAGUCCGCAACGAGCGCACCCUUGUUCCUGGUUUGCCAGCCGUAUUGGCGGUACUCGCCGGAAACUUGCCGGGGUCACCG
rnacentral:rRNA from 1 species